GCCCAAGCCUGCUCUCCACAGGAUGGCGUUCAGCGGAGCCCUUCACCCAAAAGGUGACGGCUGUUCAGUCUCUUUGCCUGGAAGGAAGCGGGAACGCCGGUUGCUUCUGUUGCUGCUGGCGUCUUCUUUCAGUAGUGCGGGACCUCAGCCUGAAGACGGAACCUACCUACCGAGGACGGCAAAGCGAGAGAAUUGUAGAGAGGUGGUGCUGGAGCCCUGAUUGUACUUCGCUCGGCGUCCUCACGACCUCUGCAUUUCCUGCUGCACCAGAUGAGAAGUUGCAGCACAAAGAGGUUCAGUAUCUUUCUUGAGGACAUACUGCAGACCAGGCACAGAGCUCAGUAAGUAAAAGGCAUUCUGCACAGAAAGUGGUCAGCGCGAAAUGUCAUAAAUAUAGGGUAUUUCUAGUCACUUGCUAUCCCAUCAGAAGUUACUUUAUAUUUUCCUUCACCUUCG